GAUGAACGCUGGCGGCGUGCUUAACACAUGCAAGUCGAACGGAAAGGCCCCAGCUUGCUGGGGUGCUCGAGUGGCGAACGGGUGAGUAACACGUAAGUGAUCUGCCCUGCACUGGGGGAUAAGCUUGGGAAACUGGGUCUAAUACCCUAUAGGACCGCAUCGUGGUUGGUGUGGUGGAAAGGUUUUUCUGGUGUGGGAUGAGCUUGCGGCCUAUCAGCUUGUUGGUGGGGUAAUGGCCUACCAAGGCGGCGACGGGUAGCCGGCCUGAGAGGGUGUGCGGCCACAUUGGGACUGAGAUACGGCCCAG
rnacentral:rRNA from 1 species